rnacentral:rRNA from 1 species
GGAGGGUGCGAGCGUUGUCCGGAAUCACUGGGCGUAAAGGGCGCGUAGGUGGCCCGUUAAGUGGCUGGUGAAAUCCCGCGGCUCAACUGCGGGGCUGCCGGUCAGACUGGCGAGCUAGAGCACGGUAGGGGCAGAUGGAAUUCCCGGUGUAGCGGUGGAAUGCGUAGAGAUCGGGAAGAAUACCAGUGGCGAAGGCGUUCUGCUGGGCCGUUGCUGACACUGAGGCGCGACAGCGUGGGGAGCAAACAGGAUUAGAUACCCUGGUAGUCCACGCCGUAAACGAUGGACACUAGACGUCGGGGGGAGCGACCCUCCCGGUGUCGUCGCUAACGCAGUAAGUGUCCCGCCUGGGGAGUACGGCCG